UUGCCAUGGAGAGAAGAGGCGAGAGACUGUUAGUUACUGCUCUUGAGCCAGCAGUGCCCUUAGCAAACUCAGAAAAGAGAAGGCAGAAGGCACAGGGCUGGGAAUUUCAGGUAUUCUGUCACAAGCAACACAAAAUGGACUAAGAAACAUCCAGUUAUCUCCUUCUCGAAGCUGUCUCCAGUAUUUAAGAGGAAACGUUAAAGACACAGCCCCGUCACAUCCCUCCAUCAAAUGGACUAAGACACAUCCAGUUAUCUCCUCCUCGAAGCUGUCUCCAGUAUUUAAGAGGAAACGUUAAAGAUGCAGCCCCUGUCACAUCCCUCCAUCAAAAAACAUAGGCUGCCUCGUGGAAUCAGAGUCCUUCCCAGCCUCCAGAAUCCCCCAAAAUCUUGGCUCACUGCAACCUCUGCCUCCUGGGCUCAAGUGAUUCUCAUGCCUCAGCCUCCCGAGUAGCUGGGACUACAGGCACCCACCACCAUGCUGAGCUAAUUUUUAGUAGAGAUGGGGUUUCACCAUGUUGGCCAGGCUGGUCUUGAACUCCUGAUCUCAGAUGAUCCACUCGC